AAAUCCUACAGAAGGUACUAGCAGUCCACAGAAACGGAGCUUGAAAACCGUGGAUCCAGGUUUAGUAACUUACUGUCAAGGCUGAAGGUUCCGUAAUAUUUUUGAAUACACAAGUAUUGUCUCACAGAAUAUCCAUGUCCAAAACAACCUGGGAUUAUCAGAAAGCCCUAAAAAACGUUCUAGAAAGGUUUCAGAGAGAAUGGGAUUUACCUGCGGUUCCGUGUGUCACUCCAAUGACUAGUUUUAUUAAUAAAAGAAAUGGAGAAAGGCGUCUGGAUCUUGAAGAGGAACCAUCUCACUACAAGAAGCCAAACGUCAACAGACAUCAAGAAUUAAGACUUUGCCACAGGUACACGUUACAGAUAAAUGACCUGCAUUUGUUUGUUUCAAGAAACAAACUCAGGGAUGGCACCAUUGUGCAGAAACCUGAAAAGAACCCAACUCAAGACAAACAUACAGUUAAUAGAAACCAAGGCAAUAGAACCUUCCUAAAAACACCAAAGUUGCAUGCAAUUAUUAUUCAGUAUGGAGGUCCUGAAGCUUCCAGAAAAGAAGUACCAACUGUUAUCAAGAAAAGAUGUUCUCAGAAAAAGUCUCAAUUACAUUUCAAUGAUGGAAACAUUAUUAAGAACAAGCAGAAAACUUUCCAUAUUGAAAUGCCACAGAGUAGAUUGAGGGUUGGAAAUUUGGCACCGGGGAAGAGAAAGGCAGAGAUUUGCAAACAGAAAGAGAAAUCUUCGGGAAUAUAAUAGCUAACAUGUAAACUGAUACAAAAAUGUAUGAGUGGUAAUGUAAUUGGUUUGUGAAAGCCCGACUAUAGGUUCGUGUCGACCAGACGCAUUGAAACCCAAGUACAAAAGCAAUUUGACUGCAUUUGGCUAAAUGCGGCAAAACACAAAAAAAGAAAGCGAA